CCAAUAGUAUUAAAUUUUUUUGCUGAUUUUACUGAUAAAGAUCCUUGGUAUCAAGUCGAUCGGUUAAUAAUGAAUGAAUAAAGUUACACUUACAUCUCGCCUUACCUAUUCACAUUCAAUAUAAAUUAGUCAAUUUCUAUUCUAGCUCAUACUCCCAAUAUGUGUAAGAGAGUUCUUUCUAUUCUAUUCUAUUCUUAGGUGAAAAUGAAGGACUUUCACGGAAUUCUAUGUAGAAUGGGAAUUUAGAUCAUGAAUACUAAUUAGCUCUUUUCUUUUUUUUUUUUUCUCAUUUGAAAAUUGAAUACUUUAAUUUCUUUCUAUUCUCAUCAACCAACCAGUUUAACACUUAAGAGGUUCCGGGUCAAUCUGGGUAAGACUCAGGAAGAAACUUGAACAGAAUCUGUACCUCCUAUAUCAAAAGUAUUUUCUUCCAGGUUAUGAAUAAUAAAUUAAUUGGGCAUUAUCCUUUGUUUCCGGGGGUAUAUCAUUGGUGUAAGUGGUGCAGAAAGGAUUCUCCUUUCAUUCUCUCUCCUCAAAAAGUAAUUGAUAUCUACUCUACGCAAAUAUUUGUUUGGAAACAAAUGUUUCAGCUUUGUUCGAAGAAGAAAAAAAAAAAAAAGACUUACUAAGAUCUCACUAAUAUUAAAGCAACUAGGUUGCAUCACAUAUCAAGAAUAAUAUACAAUGGUAGUGUUUCACCAUCGGGGAAGUAUCUCCGCCCGAAGAUAGGCAAGUAUAGUAGGACGGAUAUUCUAUUCAUCGUCUUGCAAAAAUUUUGAGUAUUUGUCGAGCAGACCUUAUCCUUGCAAGAGUUAUCAAUUGAAUUGUAGGGAGGGACCCACGUCACCAC
rnacentral:misc_RNA from 1 species